GGCGGCGGCGGCGGGAGGCGGUGGCGGGAGGCGGCGGGGGGAGCCACGUCUGGCCCGGGCCGCCGCCUGGGCUCACGGCCGGGAGCCCAACUCCGCCCGACGUCCCCCGGCCCCGCGGCCCGCGGCCUCUGCCGCUCGCCAACCUGCGCUGGCAGCGUGGGCUCGUCCCGGCCCCGAAACUUUCACUCGGGAGAGCGAGCGGGAGGCGAGCGGCCAGAACCGCAGGCUCCGCCCGCGCGUCCCCACAGCCCAGCUCCGCGGAGCCCGGGGGCCGGCUCCCCGCCGCCCGCGCGCGUCCGAGGGGCGCUGUCCGGGCCCGGGGCCGGGGACACCGGGCCCGCGUCCCUCCCGCGGCUGAACCCCAAAGGCUCACAAACAAUAAACAAAAGUAACUUUCUUCUCCUCUGAAAUGCGGUAUGGCUGCAAAGCCUUGCGAUCUCUCCGAGGAAGCUUUCUGCGAAAAUAGAUCGUUGUCGGCAGACGUAAGGAUGCACAAAAUCCUGCAAACUUUGUGUCACUGAAGUCCGAUGGCAUUCAGGAGCGGGGGUGGUAGAGAAAAUUUUCACACACAGAAGAUUCGCCGGAUUUAGGAGUGGGUGGGGUGGGGGUUGUCUGGGAGAAAGGGAGGCGGAGAUUAAUGAGCAUUCUCCCUCCCAGGACUGUGAAACUAAGUGGGUUUGAACACAGACGCCAUAGAAAAAAGUUCUAUCACGUUCAGAAACAACAGUGGGGUAGCUGUGACAUCUUUUUCUUUUUAGG